rnacentral:lncRNA from 1 species
UUUUUUUUUCGAAACGCGUGGGUUUCGCCUAGUGAGCAUGACAGUUCAUGAACAAACUUUUGCUCCUUCAAGAUUAACGUUUUGACUGAUGAAUAGACCCCAUUUGAACAUGUUGGAAGUAUCUCAAGCCAUUCCCUUGUGUUGACCGAUCACCCAGAUAGGACCCACAAAGUGUCUUGGAUGAUAUUCAAGCUUCUUGGAUCUAAUUCCG